AAUGUUCAGGAGCGUCGCGAAAAGUCUCGUCCGUCUCGUUGCGUCGUGAAAAUAAAAGAAAUUACUACGAGUUUCAUCCGGAUUCCCAAAAUCCGUUUUAUGGGGCAAACGAUGAUUCGAUCCGAGAAGCAUUGCGAUAUUUGUGGAAUACGUGAAGGGGCGAACGGAGAAGCGCACCUGAUCAAAUGCGACGGAGGGUUCUACGUAAAGUAUUACUGGUCGGAGAUCAUCUCGAAGGAACUGAUUCUGAUGUGCUUGGUAUUGCUGCCAUUUGCGGUGUUCCGACCGUGCGGGAAUGCCAUACAGCGCCCUCAGCGUUGAAUUGAUGACGAUGUACAUACUGACAAAAUCCUAUGGCAAGGUUCCAUCCAUCUGGUGACUAAUUUUCUAUGAUCUGGAAAAAGUUUUCUGCACGCAAAGCUGGUGCUGUCACCGCGGACAGUGGAGGAAAUUUCCGCAAAGGAUAUAUAUAAUUGACGAAGAAGACCGUACCUUGCAAGUAGGCCAUCUAAAAAUCUAUGAAGCACGAUACAAAGUUGAAUUGAAUCGCACUCCGGCGGGAAACUAAAUCGAAGGAAUCAAGCGUUAUGGACGUCAACAUGAACGAGGAUGUGUUUAUGCCGCUAAAAUUCAAUGCUCAGAAUAUCAUCGAAAUUGCGGUUGAACCGGUCAAUCUUUCGGAGCUGCCAAAAAUAUUGGAUGGGUGCGGCGGCGGCGAUAAUUCUCUACUGGUCCAUGGAUGUGCUGCGUCACGUUCUUCUCGCCUCGGUCUUGGAUCGAAAACCUUGGCUUCUCUCCCGAAUCGGCAGUAAACCUGUACCAAACUGCGGUAAUUUUUCCCGGGUACAUAGCGGCCGACUGCUAAACUGGUUAGUAUCCUUCAUACAAGAUUUGUCCUUUGCAAAUUUCAAUUUUGUUUCUUUUUUACAGCGCCCUCGUCACGGAAUGUUUUAAGCUCUUUAAGGUUUCCGUUUGGUGUUCUCGGGAGAUCCAGACGUCGAGCACCUGUUCCAACCUUUAAUGCGGCAAAUGCCUCCGGGUACAUAGCAGCCGACUGCUAAGCUGGUUAGUAUGCUUUAUAACCUUCGUCCUUCGCAAUUUUCAAUUUAUGUAGUUUACUCUCUUUACAGUGCCUUCAUCACGGAUUCUCGGAAAAACAUUCUCUUCCGGCUAUUUUGGGACGUUUCAAGUUUUCCGCUUGCUGUUCCCGGUAGAUCCCAGACUACGAGCACCGACGAGCACCACCACCACUCGGAUAAAUCCGCCAUUAUUUAUAUAAAUCUUUAGUUUAAUUAUUGAAAUAUAAUAAAAAUAAACAUCGAUGGGAUAAUUUAAAUGUAAACAACAACUCUAUGAGGGCUGGCUGGCCUCUUAUCACCUUUCUCUUUCAAGCGCAUAGGAAAUCCUAUUUUUUCUAUGCGCUUGAAAGAGAAAGAUGAUUAGACGUCAGCAAGCUCUGUUGGUGAAAAAGAAAUAAAACCAAGAAGAAGAACCCCAAAUCAGGAGCUCGAUGUGGCUUGACGUUCCGUAGCAGGACAUCGGACCCAUAUCAGGCUGAGACGUCAAAGCCAUUUCGCAUGUUCGAAGUCAGACGGGCUCGACGCAAACGGUGCAGAAUCGCGAGAUGUAAGGCGGAUCC